rnacentral:rRNA from 1 species
AGAGUUUGAUUCUGGCUCAGAACGAACGCUGGCAGCGUGGGUGAGGCAUGCAAGUCGAACGGGAUCCAGAGAGUAGCAAUACAAUCUGGUGAGAGUGGCGUAAGGGUGAGGAACACGUGGGUAACCUACCCUGAAGUUGGGGAUAACCCGCCGAAAGGUGGGCUAAUACCGAAUGUGGUUGUCCCUCGCAUGGGGGACGUACUGAAGGCGGGGAUUCUUCGGAACCUGUCGCUUCAGGAGGGGCCCGCGUCCCAUCAGCUUGUUGGUGAGGUAAUGGCCCACCAAGGCUUACGGGUAGCUGGUCUGAGAGGAUGGUCAGCCACACUGGGACUGAGACACUGCCCAGACUCCUACGGGAGGCUGCAGUCGAGGAUCAUUUGCAAUGGGCGAAAGCCUGACAGUGCGACGCUGCGUGGAGGAUGAAGGCCUUCGGGUUGUAAACUCCUGUCAUUCGGGAACAAGAGCGGGAGGGAUAACAUUCCUUCCGAUUGAUGGUACCGGUAGGGGAAGCCACGGCUAACUCUGUGCCAGCAGCCGCGGUAAUACAGAGGUGGCGAGCGUUGUUCGGAUUUACUGGGCGUAAAGGGUGCGUAGGUGGUCUCGUAUGUCGGAUGUGAAAUCCCACUGCUCAACGGUGGAACUGCAUUCGAAACUGCGGGACUAGAGUACAGGAGAGGAGAGCGGAAUUCUUGGUGUAGCGGUGAAAUGCGUUGAUAUCAAGAAGAACACCGGUGGCGAAGGCGGCUCUCUGGAAUGUAACUGACACUGAGGCACGAAAGCUGGGGGAGCAAACAGGAUUAGAUACCCUGGUAGUCCCAGCCCUAAACGGUGUACACUUGGUGUGGGGAGAUUUGACCCUCCCCGUGCCGUAGCUAACGCGUUAAGUGUACCGCCUGGGGAGUACGGCCGCAAGGCUAAAACUCAAAGAAAUUGACGGGGGCCCGCACAAGCGGAGGAGCAUGUGGCUUAAUUCGAUGCAACGCGAAGAACCUUACCUGGGCUUGACAUGCAUUUUGUCGGCGGUGAAAGCCGCCUAGUGUAGCAAUACACGGGAUGCACAGGUGUUGCAUGGCUGUCGUCAGCUCGUGUCGUGAGAUGUUGGGUUAAGUCCCGCAACGAGCGCAACCCCCGUGUCCUGUUGCCAGCGCGUAAUGGCGGGAACUCUGGACAGACUGCCUAGUUUAACUGGGAGGAAGGUGGGGAUGACGUCAAGUCAGUAUGGCCCUUACGCCCAGGGCUGCACACGUACUACAAUGCCCGGUACAAUGUGAACCGAAACCGCGAGGUGGAGGAAAUCCUUAAAACCGGGCCCAGUUCGGAUUGGAGGCUGCAACUCGCCUCCAUGAAGCCGGAAUCGCUAGUAAUGCCGCAUCAGCUACGGCGGCGUGAAUACGUUCCCGGGUCUUGUACACACC